rnacentral:rRNA from 1 species
ACUCAAAUGAAUUGACGGGGGCCCGCACAAGCAGUGGAGCAUGUGGUUUAAUUCGAUGCUACGCGAAAAACCUUACCAGGGUUUGACAUCCCAGUGUAAUCCUUUAGAAAUAGAGGACCCCUUCGGGCACUGGUGACAGGUGGUGCAUGGUUGUCGUCAGCUCGUGCCGUGAGGUGUUGGAUUAAGUUCCGCAACGAGCGCAACCCUCGUUGCUAGUUGCCAUCAUUAAGUUGGGCACUCUAGCGAGACUGCCAGCGUCAAGCUGGAGGAAGGUGGGGAUGACGUCAAAUCAUCAUGCCCCUUACAUCCUGGGCUACACACGUGCUACAAUGGCCGGUACAACAGGUUGCUACCUCGCGAGAGGAUGCGAAUCCCCAAAGCCGGUCUCAGUUCGGAUUGCAGGCUGCAACUCGCCUGCAUGAAGCUGGAAUUGCUAGUAACCGUGGAUCAGCAUGCCGCGGUGAAUACGUACUCGGGCCUUGUACACACCGCCCGU